AAAGUAGUAAGUUUAAGUAUAAACUAUUUCAGUUCAAAUGAAAAAAUGAUUAUGUCCUACUUUU
rnacentral:tRNA from 1 species